rnacentral:lncRNA from 1 species
CUGCCCACCACCCCCCCGUGAAGGUGGUGAUGACUUACACGGUCUGAGCGGUCGCUUGCCCAACCACGUGCCCCGCGCCUCCCUCCAGGGAGGUCCCUGCACGUCUCCAGCCCUCACUCCUCUCUGUAGUUGGCAACCUUCUUGUCGCCACUGCGCAGAGCAGGAAACUGAGGCACCGAGCGGGGUGCAAGGAAGGCGGUCGGGAGGGGGACGCGUGCUCUGCAGGGAGCUGUGUGCGCGGGAAGCGACCCCAGGGGGCUAAGCGCAGAGGCCCAGGCUCCAGCCCGGACUUGCACCUCCUCCCUCCACAAAACUGCAACCGGGGCCGGCGCGGUGGCUCACGCCUGUCAUCUUAACACCUUGGGAGGCGGAGGUGGGCGGAUCAUCAGAGGUCAGGAGUUCGAGACCAGCCUGGCCAACAAGGUGAAACCCCAUCUGUACUAAAAAUACAGAAAUCAGCCGGGCAUGGUGGCGCGCGCCUGUAGUCCCAGCUACUUGGGAGGCUGAGGUAGGAGAAUCGCUUGAAUCCGGGAGGUGGAAGUCGCAGUGAGCCGAGAUCGCGCCACUGCACUCCAGCCUGGGUGACACAGUGAGACUCCACCUCAAAAACAAAACAAAACAAAAAACUGCCGGCAGGAGAGCUGCCCCCGACAACAAGGCCUGAAUCCAGCCUUCCAGCCCCAGGGCCACGUGUAACCUAAUGGCGGCAGGUGUCUGAGAGGCCUCCACCAUAAGGCUAUAUUAAACACCAAACCCAGCUGCCACCCCUAUCUCCGAUGGAGAGGCCUGAGACACCUGCCCCAGGUUGGGGGUGCUUUGGAGAGACGCUCCCUGCAGCGGGAUAAAGGGGUGUGGGAGUACCCCCUUCUCGGGCCAGGACCCAGCUCAGGUCUGAAGGUGCAGGAAGUCCCUCCCACCUACGAUGGAGCACCUGGAGGCCAGCAGACCCGAAAGGCACCUGGAGGGCAGGUGCAUGGGCCUGUCUGUGCCUCAGUUUAUCCCUCUAUAAAAUGGGCCAAUGUUAAUUCAACCCUUUCACCAUCCUGUUCUGGAUUAGGCUGCCCUUUGUUCAAAGGGAAGGGCACAGGGUGGGGGCAUAAUUACCCCCAGGGCAGGAAGGGUAGAGCCCCUACCCGUUUCCCAGGAGGAAGCUGUGAUCCGGGUAGCUGGCUGCAGCUUCCCCCAAAGGGGCCGCGCAGGGGGGUGAGGGGAUGCAGGAUGGCAGCUGCCUGCAGUGAGGGGGCUCCUAUUUUUAGCCCAGAGAGGGAGCCGGGAAUGUCUACGCAGACUAGCUGGCUCCACCAUAUUCCAGAUGCCCUCAUGCCCCGCAGGGGUAGGCAGCAGUGUGGAUUUAGAUCAGUACAGACCUCUCCCAGUCUCUUUCUCAAGCUGUGCAUUGGGCACAGCAGCCCCAGCUUUAAACAUUUCCUAACCAGACCAUCUACCGGGGGCACAGCAGCCCCAGCUCUGAAGGUUUCCCAGCCAGACCAUCUCCUGGGGGCACAGCAGCCCUAGCUCUGAAGGUUUCCCAGCCAGACCAUCUCCUGGGGGCGCCUGGGGCUUUGGGAACCUCCCCCACACAAAAACAGCGUGAUCCUCCCCCAACCCUGCUGGUCACUGGACCGGUUCUCUACUCUGCACUCAGGUAGGGGACAUCCUCAUAAAACCCCCCAGAUCCCGCUCCCACAGCUCUGCAGGUUAAAAAGCCCAAACUAGGGCUGGGCCUGGUGGCUCACACCUGUAAUCCCAGCACUUUG